GGAAUUCGCAUUUUUCUAAUAUCAUUUAUCAAAUCUUUGAAAUUUGCAGAGAAUAGCUAGAGGAAAUUGAAUCCUACACUCUACACAAGAAGCAGUUAAUUUAAUAGGUUUUCUAAAAAAAAAAAAAUCUUUCCAAUAAAACUCACUUUCAGUUGUCCAUUUCUUGAAAGGGGCAUUAUUUUUAGAGCACUAAUUUGUUAAAAAAUAUCCCUAACUAUACAAAUACCAAACCACAUAAUAUACAUUUUUUGUUCUUUACCCUAAACAAAAAUAUCGUUGCGUUAAAAAUCAAUCCAACCCAAAGCUUACACAUCACCGAGGGACGCAUGGUUAGCUCCUAGCCAGGAAAAGGUAAGUGAUAGCAAAUGCAGAGAACAACCAGCUGUUAGUUGCAUAACGUUUCCGCGGCGCCAUGGUAAAAUUUUUAAAAUUUUCAAUCAUCAUUUAGUCAUGUUACCCAUAUAUGAAAGCAAGGCCCAUCAAAAGAUAGGCUACAGUGACCCACACAGCUUGGCUUUUGGCUUUCUUCAGAUAUUUCCUAUUCUUUGCAGGUUGUUUUCAAAGAAAGAGAAAUAUCAAAAUGUCUUCAAACUUUAGGAAUUUAUUAAAUUUGUUCCCUCUUACGCAUGAAGCAUCAAAUAUUAGUAGAGCCUUUUGCGCUCUGUGGAUGUGUGUAUUUCUCCAUCAAACAUGUUAGUUCAGCAUCAAACUCUUUCUCUAACUCAAACUCUUCUUCCCAAUGCCUCCUCUUCAUUGCAGCAAACUUCUCCUCAUGUGCUUUGAUAAGCCUAUCUCUCUCUGCUACAUAGUCUUUCAUCUCUUUGUCUUGAAAUUGUAUAAAUUUCUCCAUUUCUUCCACCCUUCAGACACAAAAUGGAACAUACUAUAAAAGACACGUCAAUAGCCACCCCAAGAUUUGCCAUAAAACCACCUAUUUUCUACACUACUCCAAUUCAGUUCAAACAAUUACAUACCUGCGCCUAUAUUCCUCAGUAUUAGAAGGAUUUGCACUUAGCUGCUUUGCUUUCUCCCUUUCCUUCUGUUGUAGAUGCUCAAAAUCCUCUUCCUUUGCAUCCCUUGCUUCAUGGAUAACUUUGAGUUGAUCCUUGAAAAAUUGCUCUUGGAAAUCCAACUUCAUCAAUCAUUGAAGUUAGUUGAAAGAAGUUUAGACAGAGUUGUCAGCAUGCCAUUAAAAAUACCCAGAUGUGAGUCAAAUUCAAAGCAAACUUUAAACUAAGCAUCACCAAUAUACUCAUUCUUCAAAUAAAAUCAAACCUGUCACUCAAUUUUUCCCUUGAAGAUUCACUAAGACCUCAAACACAGCAUGAUAAAACUCAAGGCAAUGCGAAUAUCAGAGUAGAGCACGCUUUAAUUGACAUCAAGAUGCUAAUAAAGAAGUUAUUCCAGUUAUCAUAAUAAAUGAGCAGAAGCCAAUAAAUAUGUGAGAUGUCCAAGAUAACCCUUCCAUUACUUAUCAUAAAGUUCAAAAUUUAUAUGCCAGCACAUGCACUCAAAGAUAGUUCUACUGAAAAGAAACUAAGUGCUUCUUUUAAGGGUUCCCCCCACCUCCAUUCUUAUUUUCCUUUUCAGGAACAAACAUUUGCAUCAAAGGCUUUCCCAACAGGCAACAUGCAUACAACACUCUCUACUAAAAGUCAACUCAAAUGAGAUUUACUUAUAUGCAGUAAGCAGUAUUACCUCUUCCUGGCUCUGUUCAUGGUGCAUCUGGGUUCUCUGCCUUACAAUGCGGUUUUCCUCCGUAGUCUUGCGCAGCUUGUCAGACACUAUUUCAAGAGAUUCCUCAAGAGUCUUGGUCUUCCUUUGUUCUUUAGCAACCCGGCUCUUCAACCAAAUAAGUUGCUGGUUAUCCUCACUCAUUUGAUUGAUUUGGCGCACUACCAUUUCUUGGUACGACCUCAUCUCAUAUUUCAGCUUUGACCUCCCUUGUGAAUGCUGAUUGAAGAUGUCCAAGUCUUCCUUGACUGCCAUGUAACCAUAGAGUUGGCGCUUACCACCAGAAUGGAACAAGACUGGACCAUGAUCCCAAGCAUUUCUAUCAGUUCCCUGUUCAGCAAAAUGUUUGUGCAGACGUUCAGCUUCCAAAUAACCUCUUGCAGAGCUCUCAAAAAUCAGAAUGCUCAUCCCACGAUGUCCCUGUGGACCAUAUGAGUGCCUAGCCUUUACAGCAGCAUACCCAUUGAAAUAAUCAAUAAGCUCUUGAUUGCCCAUUCCCUUCCACUUGUCAUUCUCAUCCAGUUCAAGCCUUGUAUUCAUAAUGAUAACCAUAGGAGGCCAAACUAUUUCAUGGUCUUUUUCCUCAUCUUUUAAACCUUUCCAUUUUCCAAAUACUUCACCAGCUGGAAUAACUGAAGUUCCCCUUCUGCGCAACUCCUCGUCCAAAAGUUCUGCUAGCUCUCUAUGAAGCAUCACCCUUUUUGAUCCCUUUGUUUUGGCAUGUGUGAUCAGGGGCUGCAGGCCUCUGUACCAGUCAAUGGCACCAGGACCACCUUGGCAUGCUGGACAGUGCCACUGUCUUGCGGGUUCAUUGAUCUCCUCAACAGUCAAAUUGUCUAAACUCUCAAAAAAUUUCUUGAACCAUCUACUAUUCUUGCGAGUAUCAUGACUCUUUUGGCUAGCAUCUGAAUCGAAGUCUUCACUAAGAAGCUCAUCAUCUGUAUCAUCCAUGGCAUCUUCUUCCUCAUCAUCUUCACAAUCAACAUCACUUUCCUUGUUAACUUCAGUAUCUUCAUAUUUUUUUUCACCAUCUUCUGAAAUAUUAGGAGCAGUAGCAGCAACUCUAGAUUGCCAAUUCCAUCCAUGCUCCAGUGGUGGGGGAAUCACAGAUUGUGGAGCCACGUAGUUGUUCUCUGAGCCCCUGUUGGAUGAUUGUGGCCCGGUAUUUCCUCUGUUAGUUAGCCUCUUAGAAUCCAAAACUUGAGUUGACCAUGCAUUUGCAGACAUCCUUCCUGAUCCAAAAUUAUUUCGCAUGCCUUGCUUAUUUAUCACAUCGGGGUGUCCCCAUGCUUUGGGAUUAGAAUUUUGAAAACCCCAGGGUUUUGCAGCACUGCUUCCAGCUCUGUUCUUAGACUUCCGUGAUAUUAUCUCCCAUUCCCCAUCAUCUUGUGCAUCAUCCAAACUAAUGUCUACUACACCUUGACCCAACUGCUCAACCUUAGGGCUAGAGACUUCUGUUGCAUUUUUCCCUCUGGAUGAUGCAUUAUUACUACGACCAGCAGUUGAAGCCCUUCCACC
rnacentral:misc_RNA from 1 species